CAGAGAAUGGGGGACUGCACCAUCCAAAGAGGAAUGUGGUAUAAAUAACACUCAGGCAGGCAGCCUGUUCAACAAAGGCUAUGGGCUUGGUCCCAGGUGCCUUACUUCCUAGGCAUAAUGAUCCUUGAAUUGGAGAAAAACCGUUCCUACUCAGCAAGGACCACUUACACUGCUGGUGCUGGCAAAUUUAAG